GUUUCCGUAGUGUAGUGGUUAUCAUGUUUCCCUCACGCACAAAGGUCCCCUGUUCGAAACAGGGUGGAAACA
rnacentral:tRNA from 1 species